rnacentral:rRNA from 1 species
AUUGAACGCUGGCGGCAGGCUUAACACAUGCAAGUCGAGCGAGCGUCGGACGGGUGCGUAAUGUCUGGUAAACUGCCUGAUGGAGGGGGAUAACUACUGGAAACGGUAGCUAAUACCGCAUAACAUCAGAUGUGCCCAGAUGGGAUUAGCUAGUAGGUGGGGUAAUGGCUCACCUAGGCGACGCUCCAUAGCUGGUAUGCGAGGAUGACCAGACACACGUGAACUGAGACACGGGGCAGAGUCCUACGGGAGGCAGCAGUGGGGAAUAUUGCACAAUGGGCGCAAGACUGAUGCAGCCAUGCCGCGGGUGUGAAGAAGGCCUUCGGGUUGUAAAGCACUGUCAGCGAGGAGGCGUUACUCGCAGAAGAAGCACCGGCUAAGUCAGUGCCAGCAGCCGCGGUAAUUC